CAGUAGCCACGGUAAUACAGAGGGUGCGAGCGUUAAUCGGAUUUACUGGGCGUAAAGCGUGCGUAGGCGGCUUCUUAAGUCGGAUGUGAAAUCCCUGAGCUUAACUUAGGAAUUGCAUUCGAUACUGGGAAGCUAGAGUAUGGGAGAGGAUGGUAGAAUUCCAGGUGUAGCGGUGAAAUGCGUAGAGAUCUGGAGGAAUACCGAUGGCGAAGGCAGCCAUCUGGCCUAAUACUGACGCUGAGGUACGAAAGCAUGGGGAGCAAACAGGAUUAGAUACCCGCGUAGUCCCUGUCUCUUAUAU
rnacentral:rRNA from 1 species